UUCCGCUUUAUUAGAGGGCCCGGCCAAAGGGGGGGGGGGGGGUUUUAACCAGAUGCAAGUCGAACGAUGAAGCCCUUGGGGGUGGAUUAGUGGCGAACGGGUGAGUAACACGUGGGCAAUCUGCCCUGCCCUUUUGGGACAAGCCCUGGAAACGGGGUCUAAUACCGGAUAACACUUUUACGGGGAUUUGUGGGGGUUGAAAGUUCCGGCGGUGCGGGAUGAGCCCGCGGCCUUUUAGCUUGUUGGUGAGGUAGUGGUUCACCAAGGGGACGACGGGUAGCCGGCCUGAGAGGGCGACCGGCCACACUGGGACUGAGACCCGGCCCAGAUUCCUACGGGAGGCAGCAGUGGGGAAUAUUGCCCAAUGGGCGAAAGCCUGAUGCAGCGACGCCGCGUGAGGGAUGACGGCCUUCGGGUUGUAAACCUCUUUCAGCAGGGAAGAAGCGAGAGUGACGGUACCUGCAGAAGAAGCGCCGGCUAACUACGUGCCAGCAGCCGCGGUAAUACGUAGGGCGCAAGCGUUGUCCGGAAUUAUUGGGCGUAAAGAGCUCGUAGGCGGUCUGUCGCGUCGGAUGUGAAAGCCCGGGGCUUAACCCCGGGUCUGCAUUCGAUACGGGCAGACUAGAGUGUGGUAGGGGAGAUCGGAAUUCCUGGUGUAGCGGUGAAAUGCGCAGAUAUCAGGAGGAACACCGGUGGCGAAGGCGGAUCUUUGGGCCAUUACUGACGCUGAGGAGCGAAAGCGUGGGGAGCGAACAGGAUUAGAUACCCUGGUAGUCCACGCCGUAAACGGUGGGAACUAGGUGUUGGCGACAUUCCACGUCGUCGGUGCCGCAGCUAACGCAUUAAGUUCCCCGCCUGGGGAGUACGGCCGCAAGGCUAAAACUCAAAGGAAUUGACGGGGGCCCGCACAAGCAGCGGAGCAUGUGGCUUAAUUCGACGCAACGCGAAGAACCUUACCAAGGCUUGACAUAUACCGGAAACGGCCGGAGAUGGUCGCCCCCUUGUGGUCGGUAUACAGGUGGUGCAUGGCUGUCGUCAGCUCGUGUCGUGAGAUGUUGGGUUAAGUCCCGCAACGAGCGCAACCCUUGUUCUGUGUUGCCAGCAUGCCCUUCGGGGUGAUGGGGACUCCACAGGAGACUGCCGGGGUCAACUCGGAGGAAGGUGGGGACGACGUCAAGUCAUCAUGCCCCUUAUGUCUUGGGCUGCACACGUGCUACAAUGGCAGGUACAAUGAGCUGCGAAACCGCCAGGUGGAGCGAAUCUCAAAAAGCCUGUCUCAGUUCGGAUUGGGGUCUGCCACUCGACCCCAUGAAGUCGGAGUUGCUAGUAAUCGCAGAUCAGCAUUGCUUCGGUGAAUACUUUCCCGGGCCUUGUACACACCGCCCGUCCCGUCACGAAAGUCGUUUACACCCGAAGCCGGUGGCCCAACCCCUUGUGGGAACAAGGGAGCUUCUGGGUGAACAAUUGGGCUGGUG
rnacentral:rRNA from 1 species